rnacentral:rRNA from 1 species
UACGGAGGGAGCUAGCGUUGUUCGGAAAUACUGGGCGUAAAGCGCACGUAGGCGGCGCAGCAAGUCAGGGGUGAAAUCCCGGGGCUCAACCCCGGAACUGCCCUUGAAACUGCAGUGCUAGAAUCUUGGAGAGGCGAGUGGAAUUCCGAGUGUAGAGGUGAAAUGCGUAGAUAUCUGGAGGAACACCGGUGGCGAAGGCGGCGUUCUGGACUGUUUCUGACACUGAAAAACGAAAGCCAGGGGAGCAAACGGG